GGCUGGUUGGCGCAAUGGUAGCGCGUGCCCCUCCUACGCUUAAUGCUUUGAAUCAGGGCAAGGUUGCGGGUUCGGUUAGUACAGUCCG